CCCUUAGAUGUUCUGGGCUGCACGCGCGCUACACUGAAGCUAUCAACACGGUUUCCCUCCCUGAGAAGGGCGGGUAACCUUUUGAAUCAGCUUCGUGGUAGGGAUCGGGGCUUGCAAUUGUUCCCCGUGAACCAGGAAUUCCUAGUAGACGCGAGUCAUAAGCUCGCAUCGAUUAAGUCCCUGCCCUUUGUACACACCGCCCGUCGCUACUACCGAUUGAACGUUUUAGUGAGGCAUUUGGACCGACGCAUCUCAGUUUAACCGCUGGUUUGUGUUGGAAAGACUUCCAAACUUGAGCGUUUAGAGGAAGUAAAAGUCGUAACA
rnacentral:rRNA from 1 species